rnacentral:rRNA from 1 species
CCUACGGGUGGCAGCAGUGAGGAAUAUUGGUCAAUGGACGGAAGCCUGAACCAGCCAUGUAGCGUGCGGGAUGAAGGCCCUACGGGUCGUAAACCGCUUUUGCACGGGGAUAAUACCCUCCACUUGUGUAUGCCUGCAGGUACCGUGCGAAUAAGGACCGGCUAAUUCCGUGCCAGCAGCCGCGGUAAUACGGAGGACCCGAGCGUUAUCCGGAUUCAUUGGGCUUAAAGGGAGCGUAGGCGGGCGUUAAAGUUAGCGGUAAAAUCGCGCGGCUCAACCGCGCCCUGCAGUUGAAUCUGGACGCCUUGAGAUGACAACAGGCAGGCGGAAUGCGUGGUGUAGCGGUGAAAUGCGUAGAGAUCACGAGGAACACCGAUUGCGAAGGCAGCCUGCCGGGGUGCGACUGACGCUGAGGCUCGAAGGUGCGGGUAUCAAACAGGAUUAGAUACCCUUGUAGUC